UGUAAGACUUUGAUGUAAAUUUACAGUGAAAAUCCAACAGUUACUUACUGUAUUGUGCGAUUACAGUAUACUGCUGCAAAAGCAAGGCAUUCUGGGAGUUUUAACACUUGCUUCCAUUAUCCUAACAGCCAAGUGUUUCUUUUCACAGUAAUUUACUGGGUACUGCUAAUCUGAGGAAAGUAACAUGUAUUUAUUUUUAAGCUUAAAUCAUUUGAAUUAUAAUAUAUUACAUGUCAUGUUAUUUAGCUGACGCUUUUAUACAAAUCGAUUUACCUUGCAUUUUUAACCAAUGUUUUUAUUCAUUUUAUUUUUUAAACCAUUCCACUCCGUGGGAGUGGUGUGCAGCUGAAGGGUUUCCCGGGGCACCCUCUCUACUCCACGCCACCGUUGCCAUAAUAUAAUUAACAUAAUAUAGUAAUAUAAUAGUUAACAAUAACAUACUAUUUCCUCUGUUAAUACUUCAAUUCAAUUUGUUUUAGUUAGAUUAUUUAAGUCGCGCUAUUUUUAUUCUUUGAGUUUUCUCCGUUGCGCCGAGUACGUGGUUUGAACUUCUUCCGACUUCCGGUUCCAGUGAAAGUGAAGAAGCCACAAAGCAACCCUCGCGCGAGCGAACUUUCCCCGCGACGGGUUGAUUUGCGCAUGCGCAUAGACGUCAUUCACACUCGGUUGAAUGAUUCGCCUUCAGCUCAUGAAGCUGGAAUUAACCCAGAGAGAGGUACAAAGGCACGAAAAGGAAAGGUGACCAGCAAAAGGAGUAAGGAGAGCAAGCGAGAGGAACGGCAGAACGAGCGAGCUGAACGCCGGCGCGUUUCACCAAUCAAGACGAACAAAAUAAAACAUUGGAAAUCACCACCCUGGUGUCGAGUGCCUUUG